GGUUGUGGCUCAGUGGUAAAGUGCAUGCCUAGCACAUGUGAGGUACUGGGUUCAAUCCUCAGUACCA
rnacentral:tRNA from 1 species